UGUUUAACAAUAUUUGCAGAGCAUAUAUAUAUAUAUAUAUAUAUAUAUCAGUACAGUAGGCAUAAAUCUAAGUAAAUCAACUAACAUUAGUAGUAAAGAAGAAAGGGCCAUAACCUGAUACUGAGUUUCACAGUUCAUUAAUAGUUACUUAAUAGUUAUUCCUCCUGAAGCUGAAUUAGUAGUUACUAAAUCGUAGUUCUUCAGGAGGCAUGACUGAAUUGAUUAGUUACUGAUUAACUAAUAGUUACUUAACACAAUUAAAAAACGCUAUGACAUACUGAUUAGUUAACACAUAUUCCUUAGUAGUUAAUAGUAGUUACUUGAGUGUUAAUGAAGAACUACAGAUUAAUUCUGCAGUAAUUCCUUAUUAGUUAUGCAGUAAGUACGAUACAGUAUUCUAAAGUGUUACCACUUUUACUAUUUUCUCCUUUAUUGUUUUUAUUGUUUAAGCUCUUUUACACGUUGUUUUUUAUUCAUAUCACUCUCAUUUAAUUGUUUUCCAGCUGCCUGUAAGACAUAUUAUGAGACAGUACACAGGAGCUUCAGGUACAAACAUCCAGAUCUUGCAUCGCAGGCGGAAGCUGUGAAGCGUUCAGCUCGGAGUCGAGCGAGAAGAAAGAGGCUGCUAGAAGCAAGACAGAGUGUGCUAGCUGAGGAUGAGGCGGGCCUUUGGUAGUGCGCUACCAUAGACCUGAUGUCUGAUGAGGAACACGGCAUUGUUGAUGGGGUGUCUGGAUGGAUUGUGCGACCUCCAUUCUUUCGCAGCCAGGAGCCCACCGAGCUCUGUGCCACGCUGCAGUUGAGAUUAGAGGCGAUUCCAAAGUACAGGGCAACGCACCACAGACGUCUGCAAAAUGGACUGAAUUCAGACAGAAUGCCGCUAGUUACUACAGCUCCGAAGCGGAAAACAGACAUUUCAUGGUGCAGUAGGAUUUUGGGCUUCUCGUGAGCUUCCCAUUUGUUGUGUGGGCAGAUCUCCUACGUUUUGUACAUGGUUGUGUGUUUGUGUUUGUGCUAAUAAAGCUCUUUCUUUGAAUAAA